AUUGCUGAAAAUGUAAUUAGGCUAUUGCUAUAGUUUCAGGCUGUCUGCUUCUAUUAAAACUGAAAUCUGCCACAUAUUAAAAGAUGGCCCCUUGAGAAAACUGCUCUUUCUAAGGUGUUUGAAAAUUUCCAGCAGGAGUCAGAAUGUUAGAAAGUUUUGAGACCUCCUUGCUAUAGUUUUCCAUAACACGUUUUCUAAUUUUUUUUUUUUUUAAGUGGCAGUUUGGUAUAGUAGUGGAAAGAAGGUGGGUUUUAGAGUCAAUAGAGGAACUUUUGAAAGUAGAUGUGCUAGACAUUGUAUCAGGUGUAUCAUACUUCUCUGUUCUUUGAAUUCCAACUUUGUCUCUUGCAAACCUCUGGUCUUAGACAAGUCACUUGAUUUCUCUGAUUUUCAGUUUAUAUAUAAAAUGUUUCUUCUCUCAACUCAUAGAGUUAGACUAAAUGAAAUAAUGAGUGAAAAGUGCUUUUUGAACUAUACGUUGUAAUUAAACAGGACAUACCUACAACUUUAAAUAGAAGAUAAUAAAAGCUAACAUUUACUGAGAAGUUACCAUGUGCCAAGCACUGUAAAAUGGUUUCUUGAAAUAGGUUAUUUUAUUUCCCUCUAAUUAUCAUUUUAUUUAUUUUACAGAAGAGGAAAAUUAGAGGUUAAGUAGCUUGCUCAAGAUUAUGUAGCUAGUAAAUGGCAGAGUUAGGAUUCAAAUCCAGGCAGUCUGAUUCUAGAACCUAUGCUGUUGACCAAACACCUAGAAUAUUGGCUUUUCACAUGAAAACACUUAUUUUGUCCAUUUUGCCAUUUUUCUCCUCAUUAAUAAUGAACGUUUUCUUCUUGUACUUUUUCUUUUGUUCUUUUAAUCAGCUAAAUGUUUUAAAGAUACUUUCAUUUAAAUCUUUUAGGAUUUCUUUGGAUAGAAAUGUUGCAAGUGUUGACACAAACCAGCCGUUGUAUAGUUUCUAUUUCUCCCGUAGUAAUCUUUUAACAUAGUGAGACUUUGGAAAAAUACAACUUUGUGUAGGGGAAAAUAAUCUUUAAAUUCUUAGUAAUGUUUCUAUUUCUUAUGGCAGCAUUUUCUUUGGGCCUGGAAAGUAAAAACUUAAAUAACAGUAUAUGUUAUUGUCAUUUUGUGGUAAACCUGCUAAAAUUUUCUUUCUGUCCUUUGUUUUCCUAUUUGUAAGGAAAUCUACCACUGUCGAAGACAAAUAAAAUAUAGCAAAGACAAGAUGUGGUAUUUGGCAAAAUUGGUAAGCUGCAAUGACUAUUACCAUAUAAUUAAUAAUUUAGGAAAGAAGCUAUGAGUUCCCCUCCCCACCCCUCACCCCAGGAUUUGAAAAAUAAAAAAGAUUUGUGAGGAAUAUUACAUAAUUGGUAGGUAGUCGAAAGAAUGAUUGUUCAGAGAUGUAUGAUUUUCCUUAAUUUUCACCUUUUUCUGAGAAACUAAAUCACAUUGGAUAGAUAGAUACUAAAAGGCAUCAGGAGUUUGGCUAUAACCAGAGAAUCCAGGAAACCUACUUAUUUAUCUGUAAACUUGAUUCAACGUGUUUUAAAACUGUUGCUUUUAAGUUUUUUUCCCUAGGAAAUGAAAUUUAUAGAUGAGGGGAGACAGAAGCAGCAAAUAUACAUGUAAUACAUUUAUCCUAUCGGAGAAGGAGAUGCCUUGAAUGCCUAGUGUAGUUGUUACCAACCUGUGGUCUCUCUGUCAUGUUUGCUGUCUUUUAAUGUUAUUGAAACUAUUACAAUCUCAGUUUUAUGGUUAAAAUGUUUGUUUCAUUUUGACUGAAAGAGAAUAGUAUCUCCUCUCAAACUUGUUUUCUUCUCUUUUGUUUGGGUUCAAUUCACUGUUUUUAGAAGUUACUCAAAUUAUGUAAGACUUUCAUUGAAAAGGAAACAUUGACUUUGUAAACUAAUUUAUUUUCUUUUGUCUCUCACCCUUUAAUUCUAGAUACGAGGAAUGUCUAUUGACCAGGCUUUGGCUCAGUUGGAAUUCAAUGACAAAAAAGGGGCCAAAAUAAUUAAAGAGGUUCUCUUAGAAGCACAAGAUAUGGCAGUGAGAGACCAUAACGUGGAAUUCAGGUCCAAUUUAUAUAUAGCUGAGUCCACCUCAGGACGAGGCCAGUACCUGAAACGCAUCCGCUACCAUGGCAGAGGUCGCUUUGGGAUCAUGGAGAAGGUUUAUUGCCAUUAUUUUGUGAAGUUGGUGGAAGGGCCCCCACCUCCACCUGAGCCACCAAAGAUGGCAGUUGCCCAUGCCAAAGAGUAUAUUCAGCAGCUUCGCAGCCGGACCAUCAUUCACACUCUAUGAGGAGAUUCAGACUCCACGGUGUAUAUAUUUUGCCAUUUAUUUUCU
rnacentral:sRNA from 1 species